UACGGGGGGUGCAAGCGUUAAUCGGAAUCACUGGGCGUAAAGGGUGCGUAGGCGGUACGUUAGGUCUGUCGUGAAAUCCCCGGGCUCAACCUGGGAAUGGCGGUAGAAACCGGCGCACUAGAGUAUGGGAGAGGGUGGUGGAAUUCCAGGUGUAGCGGUGAAAUGCGUAGAGAUCUGGAGGAACAUCAGUGGCGAAGGCGGCCACCUGGCCCAAUACUGACGCUGAGGCACGAAAGCGUGGGGAGCAAACAGG
rnacentral:rRNA from 1 species